rnacentral:rRNA from 1 species
CCUACGGGUGGCAGCAGUGGGGAAUAUUGGACAAUGGGCGAAAGCCUGAUCCAGCCAUGCCGCGUGUGUGAAGAAGGCCUUCGGGUUGUAAAGCACUUUCAGUGGGGAAGAAAGCCUUGGGGCUAAUACCCUCGAGGAAGGACAUCACCCACAGAAGAAGCACCGGCUAACUCCGUGCCAGCAGCCGCGGUAAUACGGAGGGUGCGAGCGUUAAUCGGAAUUACUGGGCGUAAAGCGCGCGUAGGCGGUCUGAUAAGCCGGUUGUGAAAGCCACGGGCUCAACCUGGGAACGGCAUCCGGAACUGUCAGGCUAGAGUGCAGGAGAGGAAGGUAGAAUUCCCGGUGUAGCGGUGAAAUGCGUAGAGAUCGGGAGGAAUACCAGUGGCGAAGGCGGUCUUCUGGACUGACACUGACGCUGAGGUGCGAAAGCGUGGGUAGCAAACAGGAUUAGAUACCCUAGUAGUC